GAUGAACGCUGGCGGCGUGCCUAAUACAUGCAAGUCGAGCGAACAGAUGAGGAGCUUGCUCCUCUGACGUUAGCGGCGGACGGGUGAGUAACACGUGGAUAACCUACCUAUAAGACUGGGAUAACUUCGGGAAACCGGAGCUAAUACCGGAUAAUAUAUUGAACCGCAUGGUUCAAUAGUGAAAGACGGUUCUGCUGUCACUUAUAGAUGGAUCCGCGCCGCAUUAGCUAGUUGGUAAGGUAACGGCUUACCAAGGCAACGAUGCGUAGCCGACCUGAGAGGGUGAUCGGCCACACUGGAACUGAGACACGGUCCAGACUACUACGGGAGGCAGCAGUAGGGAAUCUUCCGCAAUGGGGGAAAGCCUGACGGAGCAACGCCGCGUGAGUGAUGAAGGUCUUCGGAUCGUAAAACUCUGUUAUUAGGGAAGAACAAAUGUGUAAGUAACUAUGCACGUCUUGACGGUACCUAAUCAGAAAGCCACGGCUAACUACGUG
rnacentral:rRNA from 1 species